rnacentral:rRNA from 1 species
GAUGAACGCUGGCGGCGUGCCUAAUACAUGCAAGUCGAGCGAACGGACGAGAAGCUUGCUUCUCUGAUGUUAGCGGCGGACGGGUGAGUAACACGUGGAUAACCUACCUAUAAGACUGGGAUAACUUCGGGAAACCGUAGCUAAUACCGGAUAAUAUUUUGAACCGCAUGGUUCAAAAGUGAAAGACGGUCUUGCUGUCACUUAUAGAUGGAUCCGCGCUGCAUUAGCUAGUUGGUAAGGUAACGGCUUACCAAGGCAACGAUGCAUAGCCGACCUGAGAGGGUGAUCCCACACUGGAACUGAGACACGGUCCAGACUCCUACGGGAGGCAGCAGUAGGGAAUCUUCCGCAAUGGGCGAAAGCCUGACGGAGCAACGCCGCGUGAGUGAUGAAGGUCUUCGGAUCGUAAAACUCUGUUAUUAGGGAAGAACAUAUGUGUAAGUAACUGUGCACAUCUUGACGGUACCUAAUCAGAAAGCCACGGCUAACUACGUG